rnacentral:rRNA from 1 species
UACGAAGGGGGCUAGCGUUGUUCGGAUUUACUGGGCGUAAAGCGCACGUAGGCGGAUCGAUCAGUCAGGGGUGAAAUCCCAGGGCUCAACCCUGGAACUGCCUUUGAUACUGUCGAUCUCGAGUCCGGAAGAGGUGAGUGGAAUUCCGAGUGUAGAGGUGAAAUUCGUAGAUAUUCGGAGGAACACCAGUGGCGAAGGCGGCUCACUGGUCCGGUACUGACGCUGAGGUGCGAAAGCGUGGGGAGCAAACAGG